GCAACCUCCACCUCCCAGGUUCAAGCGAUUCUCCUGCCUCAUCCUCCCAAGUAGCUGGAAUUACAGGUGCAUGCUGCCACACCCUGCUAAUUUUUGUAUUUUUAGUAGAGGCAGGGUUUUGCCAUGCUGGCCAGGCUGGUCUUGAACUACUUGUCAGGCCUCUGAGCCCAAGUUAAAUCAUCAUAAACCCUGUCACCUGCACGUAUACAUCCAGAUGGCCUGGAGCAACUGAAGAACCACAAAAGAAGUGAAACAGCCAGUUCCUGCCUUAACUGAUGACGUUCCACCAUUGUGAUUUGUUGCUGCCCCACCCCAACUGAUCUCUUGACCUUGUGACAUUCUUCUUCUGGACGAGUCUCAGGAGUUCCCCACCGAGCACCUUGUGACCCCCGGCCCUGCCAGCAAAAGAUAACCACCUUUAACUUUCCACUACCUACCCAAAUCCUAUAAAACUGCCCCACCCCUAUCUCCCUUUGCUGACCCCUUUCUCGGACUCAGCCCACUUGCACCCAAGUGAAUAAACAGCCUUGUUGCUA
rnacentral:lncRNA from 1 species